rnacentral:lncRNA from 8 species
CCACGUCACUGUCUCUCUACCUCCUCUCCUCUCUCUGUCUAUGUAUCUGUCUGUCUUUUAGGGGACUGCUGAAAUUCCAGGUCUGAAGGGGGCUCCAGGUGGCACAGUAAGAUAGUAUAUAAUUAUUAUCUUGUUUAUUAAACAGGAGUGACAUUUUUAGAGAGGAGUGAGGCUCUAUUCUAUGAAUCCUAUCUGAGCAGAUCUGACUUUUCCUAUAGGGCUUCAGAGGACUAGAUGGAGACAAAGGAGAUGCUGGACCCAAAGGAGACAGGGUAGAGACUUGAUUAUGGGUUUGGAAAGCCUUUUCUUGGAUGCAGUAGUACAAGAAUCAUGACUAUCACAAAGGUCAUGUUCAUGAAGAUCUCGUAAAAAAGAAAAUGUUUAUGAAAACCUUCAUAUCAUAUGGUGUUCUGAUACCGUUAGUAUUUUUUUCCCUCAGGGUUCUGUUGGUGCGUCAGGGAUCCUAGGCCGUCAGGGUGAGAGGGGUCAGAGUGGCCUCUCAGGCCUUCCUGGUGUCAGAGGUCAAGCUGGCCCCCAAGACAUUCCGGUAAACAUCAGGGUGACACCUGCUAUUCACAGCCUUUAUUAACAUACAUUAAUAACACUCUCCCCAUCUUCCUACUGUACCUCUUCUGCCGUUACAUACUGAUACAUGAUUCUUUUAAAAUGUAUGAAGGAUUAUGUUGGAUACCUGUAGUUUGUGUUUAUGAAAUGGCACAGCUCAUUUGAACCUUUGAUGAGAGAGGCUCUGAUCCCUUUCUCUCCCAUGCAGGGUGAAGACGGAGAGGUCGGCCUCCAGGGAGUGGUUGGAAAGGAGGGGUCAAAGGGCCACAGGGGAACUCCAGGCCAUAAUGGGAAAUCAGGACCUAAAGGACCCAGGGGUCGUACUGGACAGCCUGGUCUUUUUGGUAUACCUGGAAUCCCGGUAAGAGAACAGUAUUCAUUCUCAUAUGAAUAUUACUUGACAGACAAUCCUUGAUGAAUACUGUAGCUAUAGUAACAAUCAGCUGUCCUUGUUGUGUGUGAUAUGUAUGCCAGACGUGUUUGUGUCUAUGUCUGUGCGUUAUGUUGCAGGGUUUUAGAGGCCUCAUUGGGACUGAGGGUGCAGAAGGAAAGCCUGGUACACAGGUUCCCAUUUUAUAACUUUUAAUUUUUUUAAUAUCACUUAUUAGGAUUUUCUACUGACUCCUUAUUGUCUACUGUGCAUUGUCAAUGCAGUUCCUUGAACAGGUACUAACCCAACUAUUUCAAUCAUUAUUGAUAAGUAGGUUUCAGGAUAAGUUCUGUGUACAGAUAGAUAGAUAGAUAGAUAGAUAGAUAGAUAGAUAGAUAGAUAGAUAGAUAGAUAGAUAGAUAGAUAGAUAGAUAGAUAGAUAGAUAGAUAGAUAGAUAGAUAGAUAGAUAGAUAGAUAGAUAGAUAGAUAGAUAGAUAGAUAGAUAGAUAGAUAGAUAGAUAGAUAGAUAGAUAGAUAGAUAGAUAGAUAGAUAGAUAGAUAGUAGGAUCUUAAUUUGAUCAUUCUUUUGUUGCAGAGAACUUUCCUGCACAACAGGAAAUGCAAAUUGUGGUGUAUUUGAGUUUUAAAAUGUCCACUUUGAAAUGUCAGACUUGAUUUGCCACUACAAAAAUGUCCAUGAAUUAUAAUCCACAUAAUAAUUCAAAUUUCCUUUUGCUGCAGGAUUAUUUUCCUGCUGUAGAAAACUGACUCAAAUUAAGAUCCUACAUCUGUACAGAAAAUAAAUGUAUGGCAUGAUAAAAACAAUAUGUGUAAUGUUUGUUGUUGUGUGUGAUUGUAGGGUGAGCUUGGUUCUGCUGGUAUUCCUGGAACUAAAGGACACAGAGUAAGUCACACCCCUUUAACCAAUCAGCUCUAAACAAGUAAAAGUCAACAGUAAAAAGAACAGAAACACAAAUGGCUCAAUCAUUGCUGCACUCUCAUAAACCACAGCAAUAAAGAGAGGUGUGAUUGGUUGCUUAUCAGAUGAUCCUCCUUAGACACAGACAUAACUGCCUGCCUGUGGGCCUGUGGUGGCUAUUGCUGUCACAGCUCUCCUGUUUAUAUGAGCACCUACAUGUCAGACAGACAAGACUAGAUAGUGUACCAGUAAAGAGGUUUACAAGAUACACAAGAGGUUUACCUGAUCAUCCCCAGGGGUUUGUAGGAUCAGUCAGUCAGUGUCUUUGUAAGACACAUUCAGCAUGGCACAGCCAGGGAUGAUCUGAGGUCCUCAACACUGCU